rnacentral:rRNA from 1 species
AACGAACGCUGGCGGCAGGCCUAACACAUGCAAGUCGAGCGCGCCCUUCGGGGUGAGCGGCGGACGGGUGAGUAACGCGUGGGAACGUGCCCUUUUCUACGGAAUAGCCUCGGGAAACUGAGAGUAAUACCGUAUACGCCCUUUGGGGGAAAGAUUUGUCGGGAAAGGAUCGGCCCGCGUUGGAUUAGGUAGUUGGUGGGGUAAUGGCCUACCAAGCCGACGAUCCAUAGCUGGUUUGAGAGGAUGAUCAGCCACACUGGGACUGAGACACGGCCCAGACUCCUACGGGAGGCAGCAGUGGGGAAUCUUAGACAAUGGGGGCAACCCUGAUCUAGCCAUGCCGCGUGAGUGAUGAAGGCCUUAGGGUUGUAAAGCUCUUUCAGCUGGGAAGAUAAUGACGGUACCAGCAGAAGAAGCCCCGGCUAACUCCGUG